CUCAACAUGCAAUCGUACAGUCUGAUAAGCACGGAUGCCUUUAAUACUCAGACCCUGUUAACGCUGUGCCAAAUGCUUCCAGCACCCUAGACACCUGGGAAAGACAACCAAGAUACCUCUCACAUACCAGAGGCUGGAAGAGAAGCCUGACUCUUCAAGUACUUCAGAAAAAUAUUUUCAAAUAGCCUUUAAACAACAUAAGGACAUCUUUGGCUUGAUUUAUCCCAAACUUACAGCAUUUGUACUCCAGGCUUUCGGGAUUCAGUGAUGAACUUUACUCCCAAUAACUGAUAACUCGUUUAAGAAUUAAGCACGCUAAUCUUCCAGAA